ACACGUUGCAACGUGUAUAAAUAGCCCUUUAGGUUGCAAGCGUCCCGCCCAUGUGGCGGGGGUAGGG
rnacentral:ribozyme from 3 species